GGUCUCAUAUGCUCAAGCUACACCCAGUUUUGGCACACAGUCUGACCAUGCUGCCCGUGAAUCAAGAUAUAGAGCUCUCUGCUCCUCCAGCACCAGAAACCUCGGAAACGACACAAGUGGGAAGCAUCAUCCACUCAAAGAAGCUGCGGAAAGAAAGAAACCUCCAGUGAUCGUCCCAAGAUGUCAUUGUUCUAUUGGGAAGUGGGGUAUGUAGAGGAGGCCACAUUUCAGAAAGCAGAAGAAUUUCAGAUGUUGCACAAGAAGACCACAAUGCUCUGCUGGUCAAAUCAUAGAAUGAAUGGUGCUGCCAAUCAAAUUAACCAUGAGCUGGUACCAUACACAGAACUGUGGCCUGCAAACCCAGACUCUGUCCCCCCACCCCCAUCCUGUAUAACACUGACCAAUCAGAAAUGCUCUUAUUAGCAUAGUGGGAAUUGCAUGAUGAUAACCCCAACUUGAAAGGAUGGUGGCUUCUAAACAAACUGCUGCAACCCAUCUUGCAGCAGGCAGCAGUCACACCUCACCCCUUGCUUCUGUCUUUCUACUCUGAUCUCUCUUGGUUGGACUCUGUCACUGUCCAUCGACCUCAGAGGAGUGGCCUACCUGACCACUGUUUACUCAGGAAGUGCUGAUGCUGAAUCCAAACACAACCCCUCAGAACACGGGUGUGUGUGUGUGUGUGUGUGUGUGUGUGUGUGUGUGUGUGUGUGUGUUGUAUGUAAGCAGUCUUGAAGCCAUGAACAGAUAUCGAUUCAUCCCUAGACAGACUGCAACAGACCACAGAAAUGACCCCACACAAGUCCAGCCUCUGUGGGUCACUCAUUGCUGUGACCAAACACACAACAAAAGCAAUUGACUCGAAGUCACAGCCCGCAACCACGCCCACAACCACACUCGGCAAACUUGGGACUCUAACACACAAGGCUCCAACUCCUGAGAUCCACGGACACUUAAGCUCCUGCAUCCAAGGACAGGGAAGUCCUGGUGUGUGUGUGUGGGGUUGGGGGCUGGAGAUUCCUGGACAGGUCUUCUGUGAAGUAAGCAGACCAGAGCACCCCAUUCCUUUUGCAAAGCAACUGUGGCCCUUCUCAGAAGAGGGGUGCAUCUCCGCACAAGCAGAGAUUACAUGGCGCUACACAGUGUUUUCCUACAAACUUGGGUUCUAUAGAUCCCUAACCCUCAGCCCAUCCAGGGCUACGUGAGAGAGAAAGCUGUCGCCUAAGGAACAGUGCUCCUGGCUCGUUGCUCCCUCCUCACCUCCAAGUCAUCUCCCAGCAGGCUGACAGGCAAUUUCACUCCUUUUGGAUAGACACCUAGUUUUGUUGUUGUUGUUGUUUGUUUUUAAAAUAACAGAGCAGAGUUAUACUACAAUAGCAACAAGCUCAAGGGUCUGGACAUUACAGCCAGCAAUAUUACUAUGGACAGGUGAUACCAAAUUUUGCAGUUAUAUAUUCCUCUCUAACCUAUAUCACAACCCGCAACAUGUAGACCACAGUACACACAGGCAAACCGAGGCUCUGAGGAAUCAAGUCACUUGCUGAAGGUCACACAGAAAAACGGUAGAAGACAGAAGACAUGUGGUCAGAAUCUAGAUGAAGCAUGGCCUUGGGCCCAGGGCUUUGUGCAUACUGGUUAAGUACUCUGGCAACCAAGUCAUAUCCCCAGUCCCCAGUCUAGGUUCUUUAGAAGAAGAAAAAGUUAAAGAGGGGAGAGAAGCCUGCCUGGGAAGCAUGCUUGGGAAAUCUGGCCUGUGAUUUCAACCUGGACGUACUGUUCUGAAAUGUUUUGUAAGACUCCAUUUCCUUCCAGAAUUCAACUUAGCAGAUAAACAUUUGGGACUCAAAGCCGAGCUAAGGAAGUGUGUGCACGCCCUGCUCGAAUGAGGAGAGGAAGCUACUGAGGCUUAGAGAUUGUGAAGAGCCUUUCCUCCCAGCUGACAAGGAGCAGGGACAGCCCAAGCUGCUCACCUCCCUCGAGGCUCCUGCCUGCACUGGAGAAGGACAUAGGCUCUCAGAAGGAAGACUGGGUGUCACCUCAUCUCCUCAGAACCAGCCCCAUCUCCAGGGACUUCCGUAAGCUCACAUACUCCAAUCAGGUGGAUCCUGUGAGAGUCUUGGGACAGUGAUGGAGACCAAAGCAGCAAGUGAGUGACCAGUGUCUGCCAUGUCAAGAGCAACGAAGCAAGCUGUCCUGACGGGGAAUAAGAGAGCUGUGAGACCAGCUCUUUCUCGGUACCCUUGUGAGGCUAGAGGUCAACCUUGAAUGUCAUUCCCCAGGAGAUGCCUAUCUUGUUUUUUGAGACAAGGUCACCCACUGGGACCUGAGGCUCACUGAUUAGGGCUGCCAGGAAGUCCCAGGGUUGCCCUGUCUCCACACCCCCAGUGCUGAGCUUACAAGUGCUGUCAAGUUGACAAUGAAACCAACCACCAUUCCAGGACUCUGUGGCUUUCUGCCAAUGGCACUAGACUGGUAACAAACAAAAGUUUAAUUAACAGGAAUUAUGUAGAGACUAAGAUAAUCCCACAGUCCCUGCUUAUUUUAGUUAUGUGUCCUGUGGCCCAACAGAAGCAGUGAGUUUGAGAACAUAGCAAAAGCAGACGAGAGCAGCAUUUUGGGAAGUGAAGUGUGACCACCAGCUCUCUGCAGUCCUUGAGGUGGAGUCUAAACACUGACCAGAGCCCAGACAACAUAGUUCCACAGUGUGUGGGGAAGCUGGGCCUUGGAUACCAAGGCCAUGUGAAGCUUGGCAUAAAAGGAACCCAGUCAUGCCACUGUCCCUGCUGAGAUCAAGUGUCACAGGAAAAACUCGCAGGGACUCUGGUGGAAGAACCUAGAGUGGAGGCGAACGUCCCAUCAGGAAAUGUGUGGAUGUGGAGAGCUGAAGAGCCGGGCGUGGUAGGAGAACCUGAUUACAGACAGUCAACUUUUCUGAAACCUGUGAAGUGUGGCACCGUUAAACCGUCAAAUUCAUGACAAAUGCAGUGUAAGAGGGAACAUGCCACCUGUGCUGAUGGAUCCUGUCAACUUGACAGGGUCUAGAAUCGCCUGGGAGACACAGCUCUCGGCGUGCCUGUGGGGGAGACUCUGAGUUAACUGGGGUGAGAAGGCCCACCCUGAGAGUGCCAUGGCCCAAAUACAAAGGAAAAAGUGAGCUGAGCACCAGCGUCCACAUCUCUCUGCUUCCUGACAGUGACGGCUCGGUGACCAGCUGCCUCACGUGCCUGCUGAGGUCUCCUUCCAUAAACCGUGAAUGUAAACAAACUCUCCUUCCGUACUUGCCAUCGCCAAGUGUUUUCCACAGUAAAUUAGGAGAGUACACACAUGAGAAGCAAUGGACAGUGUAGCUUGCACCCUGACCCCAGUGCCCACAGGCAGAGGCAGGAAGAGGAAUUCACAGCCUGUCUUGCUCCAUAGUGACUUCUGGGUAAACAGACUGGAAGUAUCAAAGGGGAAGUCACCAGAAAGGCUACAUGGGCAAUCCCCACUCAUUCCUUCCUUCACAUAAAUGGAACACAUGUCAUGUGUGAGAUACCAUGUUCUACUGAGGCCACACAUUUAAAUACCAUGAACUAAAGAUGGGAGAAUUAACUAUUUCAAAAUCUAUAUACUAGCAACAAAAGAAUACUAAGGAUUAAUGCAGAAGUCUAUAGGAAAGCACAGAUUUGUUCAGACACUCAAACUUAAUGGUGUCUAAACUCAUGUUUCACUUCUGCAGAUGGUGUGAAGAUGGGAGAAAUGGCUCAGUGGUUAGGAGCACCUCCUGCUACUACAGAGGACCAGAAUUUAGUUCCCAGAAUCUACACUGGGUGGCUUACAACUGCCUGGGACUCCAGCUCCAUGGGUUCUGACUCUUCUGGACUCUGUCAGCACCGACACUCCCACAUGUACACACCUACACAUGCACAUAGUCACACAUGUACACACCUACACAUGUACAUAGUCACACAUGCACACACCUACACAUGCACAUAGUCACAUAUGCACACACCUACACAUGCACAUAGUCACAUAUGCACACACCUACACAUGCACAUACUCUCACAUACACACACCUAUAUAUGCACAUAGUCACAUAUGCACACACCUACACAUGCACAUGGUCACAUAUACACACACCUACACAUGCACAUACUCUCACAUGCACACACCCACACAUGCACAUACUCUCACAUGCACACUCAUGCACAUAGUCACACAUGCACACACCUACAUAUGCACAUGGUCACACAUGCACACACCUACACAUGCACAUAGUCACAUAUGCUCACACCUAUAUAUGCACAUGAUCACACAUGCACACACCUACAAUGCACAUAGUCACACAUGCUCACACCUAUAUAUGCACACACUCACACAUGCACACACCUAUUUAUGCAGACUCCCGAAUGCACACACAUAUGCACACACACACAGACACUCAGACAUGCACACACCUACACAUAUACAAACUCUUAUAUACAUACACCUACAUGUGUACACACUCAUACAUGCAAACACAUGCACACACUUACUUAUGCACACUCCUGCAUGCACACACAUAUAUACACACCUACAUAUGCACACACACUUGUACACAUACACACCUACAUAUGCACACACAUGCACACACCUACACAUGCACAUAUUCUCACGUGUACACACCUACAUAAUUUAAAUAUAAGUAAAAAUUUAAAUUCAGGCCUACCUGACUAAUUUGCUUGUAUCUUCUCUACGAGAGAGACAUUUCACGUGAGAAAUUACAACCAAAGAUGAAGAAUAAAUUAAGGUGAAAAAGAAACGCAAACAGGCAUUUCAUUUUGACUUCUAGUCACCAACUGAGCUGACUCUCUGGGCCCCAAAGAACUUGCAUAAAUGGUUAUAAAAUUCUGUUGCUGAGAACAGGUGUUGAGAGGGUUGAGUGAGAGCAGUGCCACCCACUGCUCAGGGGAGAGAGAAAGAAGGGAAUUCUGAUUAACCAUCAGUCGCAAAAGCAGGGCUUCAGCGGCGUUUCAGAGGGGCAAUGAAUGAAGCAGGUGGCUAACACACACCGGUAAAAUAGACUGUGGGCAGCUAGGAAUCACAGAUAACGGCACAGGAGUCACUACAGAGCAAAGACUCUUCCCAUGUAACCUGCCUUUAUUCCUCAGGAUGCCUCAGUGAGAAACACAUGGUUUCCAUGACGAACAUAGAGACUGAAGGUCUUAAACAGGGAAUGUCAAGUCAAUGGCUGAGCUGCAACCCAAAGUCAGUUCACAGCACACUAACUUCACUUCUGGUGGGACAAGUGAGCCUCGGAGACACCAGGGAGUCAGCUCCAAUGAGACAUCUGACUGAGCUUCUUGUUAGACAUCUUAGGACAGGAAAAGAGCCGCCGUGGGCCACGGGCAGGGUGGAGGCGAAGCUGUGGUUUUCAUUUGGAUGUCUCAGCUCUCUGACUGAAAGGUGAUGCAUGAAUGUCUCCCUUAGAUACAGCUCUUUUAGUGUUUCCAUUUCUAGAAAGGGAGGAAGGAAAGGAAAGGAAAGGAAAGGAAAGGAAAGGAAAGGAAA